rfam:Dictyocaulus viviparus strain HannoverDv2000 D_viviparus-1.0_Cont742.1, whole genome shotgun sequence.
GCCUAGGUAGUGUAAUGGAAAGCAUGGCAGACCGGAUAUCUGUAAGUGCGGGUACGAGUCUCGCCUGAGGUC